rnacentral:rRNA from 1 species
GUGUCAGCCGCCGCGGUAAUACGGAGGAUGCAAGCGUUAUCCGGAAUUAUUGGGCGUAAAGCGUCCGCAGGUGGCACAUCAAGUCUGCUGUUAAAGGUUGGGGCUAAACCCCAGGAAGGCAGUGGAAACUGGUGAGCUAGAGUACGGUAGGGGUUGAGGGAAUUCCCAGUGUAGCGGUGAAAUGCGUAGAUAUUGGGAAGAACACCAGUGGCGAAGGCGCUCAACUGGGCCGAAACUGACACUGAGGGACGAAAGCUAAGGGAGCGAAAGGGAUUAGAAACCCUCGUAG